rnacentral:rRNA from 1 species
GACGAACGCUGGCGGCAUGCCUAAUACAUGCAAGUCGAGCGAACAGAUGAAGUGCUUGCACUUCUGACGUUAGCGGCGAACGGGUGAGUAACACGUAAGGAAUCUACCUAUAAGCGGGGGAUAACAUUCGAAAAAGGGUGCUAAUACCGCAGAAUAUCUUCUUGCGCAAUGAAGAAGAUUGAAAGACGGCUCUGCUGUCACUUAGAGAGUACCGUGCGGUGCAUUAGUUAGUUGGUGGGGGAACGGCCUACCAAGACGAUGAUGCAUAGCCGACCUGGGAGGGUGAUCGGCCACAUUGGGACUGAGACACGGCCCAAACUACUACGGGAGGCAGCAGUAGGGCAUCUUCCGCAAUGGGCGAAAGCCUGACGGAGCAAUGCCGCGUGAGUGAAGAAGGCCUUCGGGUCGUAAAACUAUGUUAUAAGAGAAGAACAAAUUGUAGAGUAACUGCUACAGUCUUGACGGUAUCUUAUCAGAAAGCCACGGCUAACUACGUGCCAGCCGCCGCCGUAA